rnacentral:tRNA from 1 species
GGCCUUGUAGUCAAUAGUGAUAUAAAAUUGCAAAUUUUAAGGAAUAUUUUUAAAUAUUAAGGCUU